rnacentral:lncRNA from 1 species
GGAGAUGCUCAAUGUGUGAAGAAUGCCUAAUGAAUUUGAGGAAAUCAAACCCUAACAGCAGUGCUCUCAACAAACCCUAAACUUUGGAUGGAAACUUGAUGCAAAAUGGGUGGAGAAAGGGUUUUGUGAAGAGGGAUGAAGAGGAAAAUGGAGAGAAAGCCUUUGAAGAGUGCUUUGGAGUGGCUAAAGUGAGUGAAGAGUGAAUGAGAUGGCUAGGCCGAUACCUAGGGUAAGGAAAGUUUCUAAUAGGUCAACUCACACUGAGCCCAAUUUAAAACCCAAAACCCAAUUCUGCAGAAAUCGCGUUCAGCGCCCUAGACUGGCACUGAGCGGUGAGCGCGACACUUAUUCCUCUCUUUUCUAGCUUGCCCUCAGCGUUCUUAACCAAAUCCUCUCAACUUCAACUCUCAAUUUUUCGAAUUUUAUAUAUUUUUCACUCACUUCACACCCCCUCACUUAAUCAAUACAUUUAAUCUCUCACACCACUCAAACAUUCAACAAUUAAGCACCUAUAAUGCAACUAGAACAAAAGCAAAUCAAAGCAAACAAAGAUAAAUUUCAAACAACUGGGUUGCCUCCUAGGUAGCGCUUGUUUAACGUCAUGAGCCUGGCCCAUGAAUCUUUUAGCACCCAUCAGUAGGUGCAUAUCUUCUCACCAUCACCCAUCAAUAGGUGUUUAGCAGCUUAGUAUCCUUCAGUAGAUACUCAAUCAUCUAGCAUCCAUCAGUAGAUGUUACGCCUUCAUAGGCUCAUAACCCAACAAAACAAUGUUCCAAAGUUUUUAAAUUACAUCACCAAAACAAAUAAAUCAAAGAAAUCAAUGUUUUUAAAUCACUGGGGUGCCUCCCAGCAAGCGCUCUUUUAACGUCAUUAGCUUGACCCAAUAAAGCUCAAAUUUCAUCUUUAAUGUUGGUGUUCCUCUUGCUUUCAUUACACCAACUCAUCAAUUGCUUUUGAUCCACCUUUUUGACUCAUCUUGAAUGUGGAGCUUCAAUCUUUAUCACUUCAUUCUUUUUAAAAUCUUUCAUAACCCAUAACUUGUUUUUGAAUCUUACGAGUAAGCCAAGUUUGAAUUAUGCAUCCACCGAGUCAUAAUGAACCAUCCUUCCUUUGUC